UAAAUAAAGGAAAAAUGUUUAACUGUGGUUACAUAGAUACAUGAUAAGAAUGAAUAGUAUUAAAGAACCAAUAGUUGAUUACAAAAAGUAGUUGGUAAAUAGGGAAUUACCAUACUUCAGAAGAAUUUGAAAAGUUGGUUAAUACAUAUUUAGUUAAUAAAAAGUGUAGGAUAUGUUAAGAGAUUUCACCAUAGAGGACUAAUAUAAUAGAGUGCACACUCUGCUUUGCCGCUAUGGUUAAUUGCGCAGACUCGUCACGCUUGAAUGUGCCGAUGCCAUGUGACCUUGUUUGUUUCAUUUAGGCUGCUGCUGUGCGUUUCUGUCAACAAUGUUACGUUCCGCAUUUUUGCUGUAGCCAUUGAAUUGAUCGUCAAUUAGAAUUAGAAUCGUUUCCGCCAAACGUAUAUAAAACGAACAAAAGCGCUAUUAAAUCAUAACUUAGCAAAAAUUCGCGGAAAAGUUUUAAAAAAGAGUUUUGGUAGCGCGGCCACUCCACAAGCAAGCAUGACCAAUAUUUUGUUGUUUAUAUUUUUGUGACAGUUCUGUGUGUGCUAUGGAAAUAUACAAACUGUGGAACAAAUAAUUUUAAAGACUGUGUUGUACGUAAUAUAAUUCUCCAGUUUUUGUAGGUAAAGACAUUAAAUUUUAUUUACAAAAUGGCAUGUUCAAGUAAAGCUAGUCCAGCUCAGAUUGAA